GAUACCACUCUUAUCAAACUAUGAACGGGCUUUAGUAAAGGCUGAUGAAAAGGACAAAAGGAAAGGAAAGUCAUCUUCCAGUGGUGCUGUCCCCGACCUCAGGCAUUUAUCAAAAAAAGACAUUCAAAGGGUAGCAGCAAUGCCCUUGGAUCAACAAGUAGAAGUAUUGAAAUUCAUGCAAGAAAUAGGUCUAGGACUUGAUGAAUGCUUAGGGCAAGUUGAGACCCCAAUUUGUUGGGGGGAAAUAUUAACGACCUCCUAAUGCCCAUUAAAACAACAAUCAUGAAGGCCCAGGCCCACCUGCGGUAAUGAAGACUGCCAUCGGCCCAACAUGGGAGGGGAGCGCCCCACUCCGCCUCGCCCGACCCAGUGCCCCGGGGUCAGACGCCCCCGACCUCUUGAUGGCAGACUCCACCUCGCCCGAUCCGCGGUCCCAGGGUCGGGAGCGCCCGACCCCUCACCACAAGGCUCCGCCUCGCCCGACUCAGGGCGUAGGGGGUCGGACUCACCCUAGCCCACAAGACGAGUAUCCGCCUUAGGCGCAAGAUAAGAGUGCGGAUCUCGUGGGCCCCCUGCCGAUCUCGCCAUAAAUGCGUCGCGGCUCUGGCGCGUAGAAAGACGCCCGCGCCCCCGAUGUGACCCGUCACAAGUAACCAAGCACGACCACACAGCACAGGCUACAGUGGUUGCGGCUCUCCCUGAUUCGCUACAGGGCACACAUGGCCUGCGCCGCCCGACACAGGAGGAAGCCCUGCCCGUUCUCGCGCCCCGCGCAUCCCGCAACAGGGAUGCGACGUCCGCGUCCCAUGGGCCAUCAGCAAGAUAACAGGAUCAGCCGCCUUCCCCGACAGGCACGGAUGCCACAACUGACACCGUCAUCAUGCCUGGUGGCAACGGCCACCGGGGAGAUCGUCGACGGGAUCCGAAGGCAGCCACCCUCUUCCGGUGGACGCGCUGACAGGAGCCGAAGGCCGGAGCAGGGGGCGGCGACCCAGGGACUUGGUC
rnacentral:lncRNA from 1 species